GACGUAGGGGGACCUGGAACUUCCGGUGGAGCGGUGAAAUGCGUUGAGAUCGGAAGGAACGCCCGUGGCGAAAGCGAGGUCCUGGACGUUUUCUGACGCUGAGACGCGAAAGCUAGGGGAGCGAACGG
rnacentral:rRNA from 1 species